UUGCGAGUAUGGCUUGCGGGCGGUAUCUAUUUAUCGUUUUCGCCAUGUUUUGCCUACUGUCCACCUUGCAGUUACAAGGCCCAACAUGCGCUUAUGCAUCUGGCUGGCAAAGGCUGGGCCAGUCUGUUAUCAGACGAACUCCUCCGACUACGAGGCGAACUACAACCACACGCAGGCCGCCAAAUGGAUGUAAAUAUGGAUAAGACCCAUCGUUUUUCUGACGCCGGCUGUGAAAGUGCACACAACAAAGCUGAAAUCGACAAUAAAGAAGUUCCGAUGUGCUCA